AACGUAGGUUCCGAGCGUUAUCCGGAUUUACUGGGCGUAAAGCGCGUUCAGGCGGUUCGGCAAGUCGGGCAUGAAAUCUCUCGGCUCAACCGGGAGAGGUUGUCCGAUACUGUUGGACUUGAGGGCAGUAGAGGGUGGUGGAAUUCCGGGUGUAGUGGUGAAAUGCGUAGGUAUCCGGAGGAACACCAGUGGCGAAAGCGGCCACCUGGACUGUACCUGACGCUCAAACGCGAAAGCUAGGGGAGCGAACGGG
rnacentral:rRNA from 1 species